GAUGAACGCUGACCGAAUGCUUAACACAUGCAAGUCAACUUGGUGGCGGACGGGUGAGUAACGCGUAAAGAACUUGCCUCACAGUUAGGGACAACAUUUGGAAACGAAUGCUAAUACCUGAUACUGUGAGAGAGCUUUGCGUCCCAUUAGCUAGUUGGAGAGGUAACGGCUCACCAAGGCGAUGAUGGGUAGCCGGCCUGAGAGGGUGAUCGGCCACAAGGGGACUGAGACACGGCCCUUACUCCGACGGGAGGCAGCAGUGGGGUAUAUUGCACAAUGGGCGAAGCCUGAACCAGCCAAGUAGCGUGCAGGAUGACGGCCUAUGGGUUGUAAACUGCUUUUAUAUGGGGAUAGGUACCAGAUGAAUAAGGACCGGCUAAUUCCGUGCCAGCAGCCGCGGUAAUAC
rnacentral:rRNA from 1 species